AUGACUGAGCGACUUCACUUUCAAGGCAAUAUGAUUCUUUGGCUAUGCCUUAGAAAUUGAAAGAUUGAUAUAUCUGUCUUUUGGUUAUAAAGACUUCUUACAUCAAAGUAAUUAGUAAUUUGGAGAUAAAAUUAAUUAUGUACUACCUAUCAAGGAGAAAUAUAAUUGUCUAAGCCAGUUACAAUCUUAUACGUUUCAUUUAAGACAUGAAUAAAUGGCUAGUAUAAUUUUUUUCUGAGACACAUUUUUUAAAUGUUCAGAUUUAAAUACUCAGAUUUAUCACAAAUGUUUGGGUUUGAUCAUUCCUUUGAAAGGAAUUGGUGUUUUCUUUUUGGAAUAAAAAGGCAAAAUUUGUUGAGGGAGUAUGGAAUAAUUCAGAAAGAAGUCAGUAAUUUUUCCCACUUUUGCUACUAAGUUAUAGGCAGUUAUUUUGACUGGUAGUUUGAAAAAGAAGACUAUGCCCAUGUGAUGCUUGUAACGAAACUGGGUAUGCAAAUCACACACUUGAAAAAUUCAGAUGACUGUGUGGUGGUUUAUUUAUACACUGGGUUGAUGGAAUGUCCAUCGUGUAGCAUGUGUCACCCUGCACCACGUGUCCUCUCUCUGUGUAAGUUUGAAGGACAUAUUUGCCAUCUGAUGUGGGUUUCCUGGAUGCUCAUAAUCAGUGAAAUAAUUACUCUUCUUAAAAAUUAUUUUUAAAAUAUGUAUUUUGGGGUUGAGUGGCAAGAUGUUUUAAGAUCUUAUCACCCUGGGUCCAGUUAUCUAUGUAUGUUUAUUUUAUAGAGACAAGUCACUUACUUAAAUAAUUCAGUGAACCCUCACAAAGAGCUGGGUACAAAAACCUUCACAAAGAGCUGGGCUGGGUAGCAUGCUGGAUGUCAGGAACUGGCGCCGUGGAGAAGAGAAAGGGAAAUGGGUUUGUAAGGUGGUGACUGAGCUAAGCAGAGGGCCUGGUACCUACAGAAAGUCCUAAGAAAUUAUUAUUUUUAGUAAGUUGUUAAGUUAUUAACUGAAAGGAAGGCCAGAGUUGAAAUUGUGAUCUAUCUAAAACGGGCAAAUUAGUUAAUACUCUUAGUUUGUUUCUUCAUCAGAAAUACAGGGUAAUAAAAUCACCAUCAGAGGGACUAUGUCAAGAUUAAAUGAGUUAUUCAACAAAAUGGAAAUAUUACUGAAUGGGAGAAAAUAUUUGUAAAUGAUAUAACCAAGUAGGGAUUAACAUCCAACAUAUAUAAACAAUUUAUACAACUCAACAUCAAAAAAACAAAACAAUUUGAUUAAAAAAUGAGCAGAAGAACUGAAUAGACGUUUUUCCAAAGAGAGAAUGCAGAUGGCCAACAGAGCACGUGAAUAGAUGCUCAGCGUUGCUAAUCACCAGAUCACCAGGGAAAUGCAAAUCAAGGUCACAAUGAGAUAUCACUUCACACCUGUCAAAAUGGCUAUAAUGGAAAAGAAAAGAAAAGAAAAAGACCAAAUAGUAAAUGUUGGCAAGGAUGUGGAGAAAAGGGAACCCUUGUACACUAUUGGUGUGAUGGACAUUGGUACAGCCACUGUGGAAAACAGUAUGGAGGUUCUGCAAAAAUCUAAAAAUAGAACUACCAUAUGACCCAGAAACUAUACUCCUGGGUGUAUAUUUGAAAAAAGCACUAAUUGAAAAAGAUAUAUGCACCCCAAAAUUCAUAGCAGAAUUACUUACAAUUUCCAUAUAUGGAAGCAAUCUAAGUGUCUAUCCACAGAUGAAUCUAUAAAGAUGUGGUUUACAAUACAAUAGAAUAUUACUCAGCCAUAAUUUUUUUUUUUUUUGCCAUUUGCAGUAACAUGGAUGGACUUGGAGGGUAUAAUGCUAAGUGACAUUAGUUGGACAGAGAAAGACAAGUACUGUAUGAUAUCACAUAUUUGGAAUCUAAAUAAUACAACGAACUAGUGAAUAUAAGAAACAGAAGCAAAUUCACAAAUAAGCAACCAAUUUGUAGUUCUCAGUGAAGGAGCAAUAUAAGGAUAGCGGAGCGGGAAGUACAAACUAUUGGGUGUAAAAUUGGCCCAAGGAUGUGUUGUGUAAUAUGGGGGAUAUAGCCAAUACUUUGUAAUGACCAUAAAUGGAAAGUUACCUUUAAAAAUUAUAUGAAAUAUUAAAAAAUUUUAAAAGAUUAAAUGAGGUAAAAUAUGGGAGCAUGCCCCCUAUGGGACAUGCCCAGGAGUAUGUCUGGCACAUAUCAGAUAGUUAAUAAUUGUUGGUAAAAUAGUGAAAAGUGAAAAAAAAAAGUUUUCUUAUUCUCAAGAUGUGUCAUGGCUUAGAACAGGGGAUCCUAAUACAUUAUGAAGUUGGACUUUAGCUGUAAUUUCCCUGUAUUUGCUUUAAAAUUCUGUCUGAGUUUCACUAAUAAUCCAAAGGGAUUUUGGACUCUAAGAAGAAAACACACAUACACAAACACACCUACACACUUCCCUGCUCCUGCACUCAUAAUUAUUCUUCUCUUGUUCACAGAUUUAAAUUUGCUUAAAUCCAUGAAAUAUUUUUAUAUUUAAAUGUCCUCUGUAAUAACAGGAGAACGUGAGAAAUGAGCGGAAGCAGCAGAAUUAUAUUAUUGGAUAAAAAUUUGGAUACAGAAGGAGAUGUGAAGAGAAAAUGAUGUGUUUUUCCUGCUAGACCACGGUGAACUCACUUGUUGUAGUCCUUAUUGCUAUUUUAAGAAAAAUUGCUGGUGUGAAGUAUAUUAGAUGCAGUGUAGUGUUUUCACUUGUUAAGGUCAAUUCAUAUUUUAAUAAUGUGUUUUGUGUUUAUCUAUCUUUAGGUUUAACAUUUAAAAAAAUCUGAUCUCUAAACUGAUCAUUUCGUACAUAAUUGUUUAAAUACCAUAGGUCAUGUGAUGACCUUUUAUAUUUUUUGAUUUUUUGAAUGUCUUUUAUUUGAAGAUUGUCAUGUCUUUAAUGCUAAUAAUGCCUCAUCUUUUCUGAAAUUGGAUUUGAAUCAUCACUAAAGGAUAAAAUGCUAUGACUAUAAGGUGGCAUUCAAAAACAAGAAACACUUACUAAAUUUAAACUAUUUCUUUCAGGCCCAUGUUUUCAACUCUUUCAGAAAUACUUUUGAGUUAAAAUUGAAAUGUCAAAUAACAUAAAAUUUGAAACACACAUUUGGUUCAGUAUUACCAUCAUACAGUAUUAAAUAUUAAACAUUAAUUUAUUUCAUGCUGCUGGCAGGACACAAUGAUUCAGUGUUUAAUGAAAAAAAAAUUGUCUGCUUGAUGACUUCCAUGUAUUGUAAUAGAACUGUGCAUGUUUAUUUACUGUGGAUUAAUAGGCUUUGUUCUGCUAGUGCAUACUUAAAUAUGAUUUAUAUGUCAUGUAUAAAUAUACCUAUGUCAGACAUAGUCUAUACUGAAGUCCACAAAUUCUCUUUUUUGAAAUAUGCCUUUGUUUCUUCUAUGAAAGAAAUAUUUAUGAAAAGUUGUCUCUAUCUUUUACACUACAUUCCUUACAGUAACCAAGGCCUCUUUAAAACUGGGUGCUUUGCACCCGGGGUUUAAUGCAGGUAGUAAAAUGUUACUACGAAUGAAUGUGAAAGGGAAGCUGCUUUAAUUAAAGGGAAUGAAUCUAAAUAAUACAAUGUACUAUUUGGAAUGGAAUUAAAUAGCACUCUUUAACAGAGAGCAAAUUUAUUUCAUUAUAUUUUGGAGUCAACAUAAUUAUACGUAUUAUUUGUUCAUAACACUGAAUGUGUGACCUUGGGAAAGUUACUGAUCACUCUAUACUUCAGCUUCUUUAUAUGAAAAAUGGAUAUAAUCAUAGUUCCUACGUGAUAUAUCAAUAGUAUACUUGGAAUUGUCCGUGGCACUUAGCAAACACUGUGUGUUAUCUUUUGUUAUUUUUAUAUAUGAUAUGUAGAGUAGGGUAGGGAGGUGGGAACAGAGGAUGAACCAGAGGAUGAGCCAUUCAGAAUCACCUGAAAUAGCACACUUUCAAGGGCCCUAUUAGGGAUGCAGGCUGGCUAUUUUUGCACUUGAGAAGAGCUCCAGUCACAAAAUGAUAAUAUUCUAUGGAAGGUGUCUUAUGUCUUGUUGUUUAGUUCCUAAGUCGUGUCUGAUUCUGCGACCUCAUGGACUGUAGCCCACCAGGCUCCUCUGUCCAUGGGAUUUCCCAGGCAAAAAUACUGGAGUGAGUUGCCAUUUCUUUCUCCAGGAAAUUUUCCUGACCCGUGGAUCGAACUGGUGUCUUAUGUCUACAACUUACAUAAAAAUAUCUCAAGGAAGACACUACUAUUUGAAGUCUGCUCAGGUUACUUUAUAUUAUGAGAAAAAAAUUGUCCCUCUGUGAAGUUCCUUUCCCUCAUCUCCAAACUUCAAAUCCAGCAACAUAAUCCUCAUGUCCAACUCAAAUAGACUGCUGCUGCUACUGCUAAGUCACUUCAGUCAUGUCCAACUCUGUGCGACCCCUUAGACGGCAGCCCACCAGGCUCCGCCGUCCCUGGGAUUCUCCAGGCAAGAACACUGGAGUGGGCUGCCAUUUCCUUCUCCAACACAUGAAAGUGAAAAGUGAAAGUGAAGUCGCUCAGUCGUGUCCUACUCUUCGAGACCCCAUGAAUCUCAGCACGCCUUGGCCACAGAAUCACUCAUGCUUGUUUGCAGCCCCACAGACUGUGGCCUACCAGGCUCCUCUGCCCAUGGGAUUUUUCCAGGCAAGAGUACUGGAGUGGGUUGCCAUUGCCUUCUCCUCAAAUAGACUACCUACUCCCAACUCAAAUCUCCCUAUUGAUUUUCUCUUGUAAGAAAUUACAUCUGGGGCAUCCCUGGUGGCUCAGUGGUAAAGAAUCCACCUGCCUUUGCAGGAGACGUGGGUUUGAUCCCUGGUCCAGGAAGAUCGCACAUGCGCCAGAGCAGCUAAGCCUGUCUGCCGCAACAAUUGAGCCUGUGCUCUAGAGCCUGGGAACCACAACUACUGAGGCCACAUUCUCUAGAGCCUGGACUCUGCAACAGGAGAAGCCACUGCCAUAAGAAGCCUGUGCACUGCGACUAGAGAGGAGGCCCUGCUCUCUGCAGCUAGAGAAAAGUCCAUGUAGCAACAAAGAGUCAGCACAGCGUCCCCCUGCCAAAAAAAACCAAUCACAUCUGAAAUGAGCUUCCAAAACUACAUGUAGGUCAUAUAUAAUUUUUAGCAGAUCUUAAAGUAGCUGGAAUUCAGGUUUUCAUUUUAGUUUAUUGAUCUCUUAAAGCUAAUAACUGUUAUUGAAAGUUUUUUGGGUUUUGUUGAGGUACAAUUGGCAUAAACACUAUAGGAGUCUCAGGUAUACCACAGCAUAGCGAUUCAGUGUUUGUGUAUAUUGCAAAAGUAUCACCACCAGAAGUCUAGUUAGCAUCUGUCACUGUGCAUCCUUACAGAAUUUUUCUUUCUGAUGAGAACUUUAAAGAUUUUUCUCUCUUAGAAACUUUCAAAUUUGCAACACCGUGUUAUUAACUGCAGUCACCGUCCUAUACACUGCAUCUCCUUGACUUAUAUUUUAUAACUGGAAGUUUGUGCCUUUUGACCCCCUUAACCCAUUUUGUCGUCCCCCAGUCCUCUGCCUGUGGUAACCACCUAUGUGUUCUGUGUAUGUAUGAGCUCAUUUUUUUGUUUUUUUUUAAGAUUUCACGUAAAAGUGAGAUCAUAAAGUAUUUAACAUUUUCUCUCUGAUUUAUUUCACUUAGCAUAAUGCCCUCAAUGAACUUUCUUGUCUCAAAUGGCAAGAUUUUUUUCUUUUUCAUGGCUGAAAAACAUUCCAGUAUAUGUGUGUAUAUCUAUGUAUGUCUAUUUAUUUAUUCUCACCUACACUUGUUAUUUCUUGUCUUUUUGAGAAUGGUCAUUCUGACAAGUGUCAAAUAUCUUUUUGUGGCUUUGAUUUGUAUUCCUCUGAUAGUUUUUGGUAUUAAGUCCUUUUCAUGUUGACCAUCUCUGUCUGUUUCCACCUUCUUUGGAAAAAAAUGGCUAUUCAUAUCCUCUGCCUACUUUUUAAUUUGGUUUGUUGUUUUACUAUUAAGUUGUUUGAGCUCUUUGUGUAUUUUGACUAUUAACCCCUUGUCUGAUACACAAUUUGCAAAUGUCAUCUCCUAUUUGGUAGGUUGCCUUUUCAUUUUGUUUGUGAUUUGCUUUGCUGUGAAGUAGCUUUUUAGCUUAAUGUAGUCUCAGUUUUUUGUUUUUGCUUUUGUUUUUGUUGCCUUUGUUUUUGGUGUCAGAUGGCUAUCUUUUAAAGUCUGACCUAGGACAGUUGUAUUUACACUCUCAAAUUUCAUAGUUAUCCUUAAAGGCGUCUUUCAAAGUUACUUUUUUCCUAUUUUGCUUGGUAAAAUUCUAAGUGUAUGAAAAUCACCUUAAAUGAAAUCUCAGUUGUAAUCUAAUUUCUAAUUGAGUUAGACAGAAGCUGCCAUUUUGUCAGUGUUACAACCCUAUUGACUAUUUCUGAUGUAAUCAGUGGGCUCCUUUUUGAUUAUUCAAAGCACUAUAUAAGUGUAAUAAUGUCUUACUGGCUUUCUGUAAACUUAUGUGUUUAGUCUGGUGAAGAUUUAUUUUUCAAAAUAAAAUAUUCUCUUAUGAAAUUUGAACAUUA